CACUUCAGAAUAUGAAACCGCCAUUAUCUAAUACAGCUCUGAAAAAUCAAAGAAAACAUGAAGCCAAGAAAGCUGCCAAGCAGGAAGCCAGAAAUGAAGGCAGUCAGGAUUUGGCCCUUAAUCCAGCUCCACAGCAGAACCCCCCAUGGAAUGUCUCUCUGCCAACAUCGGGAGACCCUGAGGUAGACAAAAAAUCAAGAACCUGAGAAAGAAACUGAAAGCAAUCCAACAAUUGAAAGAAUAAGCAACUAGUGGUAAACAGCUUGAGAAAAAUCAGAUGGAGAAGAUCCAGAAAGAAAGUGCCCUCCUACAGGAGCUGGAAGACUUGGAGUUGGGUGUUUGAAGUUUUGUGGAAAAUCAGUUACCUGAAAUCAGUGCAAAUACAUUCUCUGUAUUAAACUUACUAGAAUAAUUAAUUUUUUUUUGUUUCAAAUGGCUGAGUCCACACACCUGUACAUAUUUGCUGUUCAUCUAUAUUUCUAACCAUUUAUCUUAAAAUUUGUGCAUGUGGGAAAUUAUUUAAUAAUGUUUAUUAAUUAAAUUUUCAUUUCCUAACAAAAACAGAUAUAGAAAUGCUUAUGUUACAAAUUAGUACUAAUAGUUAAUA